GCAGUCGAGCGAACUGAUUAGAAGCUUGCUUCUAUGACGUUAGCGGCGGACGGGUGAGUAACACGUGGGCAACCUGCCUGUAAGACUGGGAUAACUUCGGGAAACCGAAGCUAAUACCGGAUAGGAUCUUCUCCUUCAUGGGAGAUGAUUGAAAGAUGGUUUCGGCUAUCACUUACAGAUGGGCCCGCGGUGCAUUAGCUAGUUGGUGAGGUAACGGCUCACCAAGGCAACGAUGCAUAGCCGACCUGAGAGGGUGAUCGGCCACACUGGGACUGAGACACGGCCCAGACUCCUACGGGAGGCAGCAGUAGGGAAUCUUCCGCAAUGGACGAAAGUCUGACGGAGCAACGCCGCGUGAGUGAUGAAGGCUUUCGGGUCGUAAAACUCUGUUGUUAGGGAAGAACAAGUACGAGAGUAACUGCUCGUACCUUGACGGUACCUAACCAGAAAGCCACGGCUAACUACGUGCCAGCAGCCGCGGUAAUACGUAUGUGGCAAGCGUUAUCCGGAAUUAUUGGGCGUAAAGCGCGCGCAGGCGGUUUCUUAAGUCUGAUGUGAAAGCCCACGGCUCAACCGUGGAGGGUCAUUGGAAACUGGGGAACUUGACUGCAGAAGAGAACAGAGGAAUUCCACUUGUAGCGAAGAAAUGCGAAAAUAUGUGGAGGAACACCAGUGACGA
rnacentral:rRNA from 1 species